GAUGAACGCUGGCGGCGUGCCUAAUACAUGCAAGUCGAGCGAACGGACGAGAAGCUUGCUUCUCUGAUGUUAGCGGCGGACGGGUGAGUAACACGUGGAUAACCUACCUAUAAGACUGGGAUAACUUCGGGAAACCGGAGCUAAUACCGGAUAAUAUUUUGAACCGCAUGGUUCAAAAGUGAAAGACGGUCUUGCUGUCACUUAUAGAUGGAUCCGCGCUGCAUUAGCUAGUUGGUAAGGUAACGGCUUACCAAGGCAACGAUGCAUAGCCGACCUGAGAGGGUGAUCGGCCACACUGGAACUGAGACACGGUCCAGACUACUACGGGAGGCAGCAGUAGGGAAUCGUCCGCAAUGGGCGAAAGCCUUGCGGAGCAACGCCGCGUGAGUUAUGAAGGUCUUCGGAUCGUAAAACUCUGUUAUUAGGGAAAAACAUAUGUGUAAGUAACUGUGCACAUCUUGACGGUACCUAAUCAGAAAGCCACGGCUAACUACGUG
rnacentral:rRNA from 1 species